AUCUUAUAGCAUAUAGCAGGAGUUCAAUAAACAAUUGUUAAAAAAAAAAAAAAAAAAGGAAGCAGGUCUUCUUGGAAGAAUGGCUGACUCCGAGGCUGGGGCAGAGAAGGCGUGAGGUCCUGCCAUGAGAUGAUACAGCAAGGAGGCCCUCACCAGAUGCCAGCCCCUUGAUCUUGGACUACCCAGCCUCCAAAACUACUCCUGCAAGAUGAGUAGUCAGUGACUUCCUGAGUAGAAAUCAGAUGAUCUACAACGGUUUUAAAAAUAGAGAACAGAAGAGUAAAGCUGAAAAAUACUUUGUCACUGGCCAGAUACUCCCUUUAGAAGUAGGUAAGAGGCCUGGUGUGGUGGCUUAUGCCUGUAAUCCCAACACUUUGGGAGGCCGAGGCAAGCAGAUCACCUGAUGUCAG